GCUGCCCUCAAGCACGGCUUGUGUGUUGGGCCCCGUCCCCUCCCCCCGGGGACGGGCCCGAAAGGCAGCGGCGGCACCGCGUCCGGUCCUCGAGCGUAUGGGGCUUUGUCACCCGCUCUGUAGGCCCGGCCGGCGUCAGCCGACACUUAACUUUAUUUCUAAU
rnacentral:misc_RNA from 1 species